AUUGAACGCUGGCGGCAGGCUUAACACAUGCAAGUCGAGCGAGCGGCGGACGGGUGAGUAAUGUCUGGGAAACUGCCUGAUGGAGGGGGAUAACUACUGGAAACGGUAGCUAAUACCGCAUACCCUCAGAUGUGCCCAGAUGGGCUUAGCUAGUAGGUGGGGUAAUGGCGCACCUAGGCGACGAGCCCUAGCUGGUCUGAGAGGAUGACAGGCCACACGGGAACUGAGACACGGUCCAGAUUCCUACGGGAGGCAGCAGUGGGGAAUAUUGCACAAUGGGAGCAAGCCUGAUGCAGCCAUGCCGCGUGGAUGAAGAAGGCCUUCGGGUUGUAAAGCACUUUCAGCGAGGAGGCGGUACUCACAGAAGAAGCACCGGCUAACUCCGUGCCAGCAGCCGCGGUAAUUC
rnacentral:rRNA from 1 species